rnacentral:lncRNA from 1 species
AUAUUGGGCCUAGAGGGUCUCACACAUAUGGUAGGCAUUGCGAUGAGUAGAGGUUCGGAUAUGAAAUAUCCAACGGAGCCCUUGUCUUAUUGGAUGCAGAUCUAAUACCCACUAGGGAAGGACCCAUUAGGUUUUGACACGGGAUCUCUAUAAAUAGGAGGGAUUCACAGCCUCAUAGGCUAGAGUCUUUGCUUGCCUUUCCUAUUCUCCUCUCCCUCUCCACCUCAAAGUAGGCCUAGAGUUUUGAGGAGCGUCGUCGCAACCCUACUGUGUGGAUCACCACUAGAGAGGAGGACGCUUGACCUCCUUCACCCUCUCCUAAGGAUCUGCAAGGAAACAGGGAUAUACGAUCUCCCUAGGUAACACAAUCUCUAUACGCAGUUUUACGUUUUGCGGAUUUUUGCGCACCAAUCUUCACACGACGACGAACAUCUUUUUGGGAAUCGGGGAUUUUUGUUUUCUUGUUCUUCUGCUACGCAUAUGAUGUCGC